GGUCUGACUACUCCUUUUAAGAACUUUACCAAUCCUCUUCAUUUCAGCCUACCUCACAGAUACCUUUGGAAGUACUUAGAGGCACCUGGGACCUCCAACGUCCUGACCCUUUCCUGAGUUCUCCGGUGUAAGGCAGCUUGUUUCUUGAUGACUAAGCUCUGCAGCGUUGAGUUUCUGCUCUCUGAGGCAGAGCUGGGCAGCUGAGAUGAAGAUCUUACCUAUGUUUACGGCCCUCAUUAGAUGGUGAUGUCCGACCGACCAAUACGCAAACACUAUAUUCUAUAUGCACAUCACAGUGUUUGACACAUGACAGGAAGUAACCAGGUCUACCCUGGUCAUCCGGUAUUCUCAGAACCUAGCACUGGGGCUGGCACACGGUAGGCAUUUGGUACC